UGGCUCCUCAGGGUUGGGGCACUGCCUGGCCCAGUGGCCUUUGUUGCCCCACUUGAAGCAGGUGCCAGGUGGCGUUUGGGGAGUACCUCCUCUCGGAGAGCUCCUGGAGCCGGCCGGCCUCAGGGCUGCUACCAAGGCCUGGGUUUGGAGGUCUACCUUCUGCUUUAGCCUCGCCUGUCGCUGAGCCUCAGCGGCUUCCUCCCUGGAGUUGGAGACCUUGAAGGCCAGUUUGACUAAAUCCUGGAUGGGAGUUUGAGGGCCGUCCUCCACCAUUUUUAAUUUUUUCGGAUAUCUGGAGCCGACUGAGAAAUAAAGUACGUAGCCAAGACGGUUCCUCCUGCGGGGGAGCAGGGAGUAGAGCACAGUCAUUGAAGACAUGGGAUUGAAGCAGAAGUCCAGGCUCUAGCACUAUUGUGAAAACACGGGCAAGUUCCCUAACUUUUGUGGAUUCUUCUGUGUUCGAAAGGGAAGGUGGUACCCAUCUCCCGUGCUGUGUGUGAUCGUCGAAUGAGACACAUGUAAG